UAGCCUAGUGGUUAAGGCUAUGGAUCGCCAAUCCGGAGAAGGCGGGUUCGAUUCCCGU
rfam:Aedes albopictus isolate Foshan contig73618, whole genome shotgun sequence.